rnacentral:tRNA from 2 species
GCGCCCUUAGCUCAGCCGGAUAGAGCAACGGAUUUCUAAUCCGUAGGUCGCAGGUUCGAAUCCUGCAGGGCGUG